rnacentral:snoRNA from 1 species
UGUAUCAAUAAUGAAAGUAUGUCAUGAACUAAGGAUUAUGUUUGAUCCAAUUCUGUGUACCUGAUAUU